rnacentral:rRNA from 1 species
CCUACGGGUGGCAGCAGUCGAGAAUCAUUCACAAUGGGGGAAACCCUGAUGGUGCGACGCCGCGUGGGGGAAUGAAUGUCUUCGGAUUGUAAACCCCUGUCAUGUGGGAGCAAAUUAAAAAGAUAGUACCACAAGAGGAAGUGACGGCUAACUCUGUGCCAGCAGCCGCGGUAAUACAGGGGUCUCAAGCGUUGUUCGGAAUGCCUGGGCGUAAAGCGUGCGGAGGCUGUUUCGUAAGUCGUGUGUGAAGGGCGCGGGCGCAACCAGCGGACGGCACAUGAUACUGCGAGACUAGAGUAAUGGAGGGGGAGCCGGAAUUCGCGGUGUAGCAGUGAAAUGCGUAGAUAUCGAGAGGAACACUCGUGGCGAAGGCGGGUUCCUGGACAUUAACUGACGCUGAGGCACGAAGGCCAGGGGAGCGAAAGGGAUUAGAUACCCUUGUAGUC